rnacentral:lncRNA from 1 species
CUAAAUGUUAGAUCUUCUAAAUAUUUAUAUUUGAUAUAAAGAGCUAAUCACUUGUAUAAUUGUAUAUAGGUGGGGAAGCCAAGUAGAAGAUGAACAAGCAAGGAAAAAGUGGAGAAGAGUUCGGCCACCAUGUUUUUGCUUACUACUUAGGAAGUUUGUUAGGCAUUUAAAGAUUGUCUUUAAACUUUCUUAUUUUGUUAAGAACUAAUUAUAUGGCUUCAUUUGAUGGAAGGCCACUAUUAGUGCCUAAAUGUAUAAAGGCAUUUAUAUUAGACUCUAAAUGUAUGGAGCUAAUACCUUUUGUAUUAAACAUUAUGAAUGUUUGAACUAUCAUAUUAAUGUAAUGUGAAGUAUGCCUUAUUAAUAUACUAUUUCCUUAAAGUAGUGUUAUGAAUUGAAAAUUGUCUUGUUGUAUCCUGGAUAAGAUACAAGAGUUAUAUCACUUAAUUGUAAUGUGAUAAACCAAACUUUAGAUUUAUCAAUUAUGGAUAGAU